AGUGAACGCUGGCGGUAGGCCUAACACAUGCAAGUCGAACGGCAGCACAGUAAGAGCUUGCUCUUACGGGUGGCGAGUGGCGGACGGGUGAGGAAUACAUCGGAAUCUACUUUUUCGUGGGGGAUAACGUAUGGAAACUUACGCUAAUACCGCAUACGACCUACGGGUGAAAGCAGGGGAUCUUCGGACCUUGCGCGAUUGAAUGAGCCGAUGUCGGAUUAGCUAGUUGGCGGGGUAAAGGCCCACCAAGGCGACGAUCCGUAGCUGGUCUGAGAGGAUGAUCAGCCACACUGGAACUGAGACACGGUCCAGACUCCUACGGGAGGCAGCAGUGGGGAAUAUUGGACAAUGGGCGCAAGCCUGAUCCAGCCAUACCGCGUGGGUGAAGAAGGCCUUCGGGUUGUAAAGCCCUUUUGUUGGGAAAGAAAAGCAGCAGGUUAAUACCCCGCUGUUUUGACGGUACCCAAAGAAUAAGCACCGGCUAACUUCGUG
rnacentral:rRNA from 1 species